AACGAACGCUGGCGGCAUGCUUUACACAUGCAAGUCGAACGGCAGCACGGGCUUCGGCCUGGUGGCGAGUGGCGAACGGGUGAGUAAUGCAUCGGAACGUACCGUGUAAUGGGGGGAUAACGUAGCGAAAGUUACGCUAAUACCGCAUACGCCCUGAGGGGGAAAGCGGGGGAUCGUAAGACCUCGCGUUAUACGAGCGGCCGAUGUCGGAUUAGCUAGUUGGUGGGGUAAAGGCCUACCAAGGCGACGAUCCGUAGCGGGUCUGAGAGGAUGAUCCGCCACACUGGGACUGGGACACGGCCCAGACUCCUACGGGAGGCAGCAGUGGGGAAUUUUGGACAAUGGGGGCAACCCUGAUCCAGCCAUGCCGCGUGAGUGAAGAAGGCCU
rnacentral:rRNA from 1 species